GUGGCACUGGGGGACCUCAGUGAGGUUGGGUCUGAGGCCUGGGGUCAGGGCCCUCACCCUCCCUUCCCUUCUCCUCCCAGAGCUGCCUUCUCAGACCUUCAUCUUCAUCAUCAUGGGCAUCGCUGGGGGCCUGGUUCUGCUGGGAGCUGUGGCUGGAGCUGUGAUGUGGGGGAGGAGGCGCUCAGGUGGGCAGGGUGGGAGCUAUGCUCAGGCUGCCAGCACUGACAGCACCCAGGGCUCUGAUGUAUCUCUCUCACUUUCUAAAGCGUGAGGCGGCUUCCUUGUGGGGACUGAGUGAUGGAAGAUGUGUUCAGGCUCCUACUUUGCUGGGGUGACUGGCAGACCCUGAGCGACGGAUGAAUGAUGGCUCUCACACAUUUUCUGUGAAAGGGAGGCUAAGGCACUGCUUGGCUGUCACUGCCAAGUCACCCUGUUCACCUGCCUCCUUUGGCUUUUAUUGUCAUAACCGCUUGAACUGAAAUUAAUCUCCGGAUACAAUCUGCAGGGUGCGCAUCCUUGAGAAAGCACCUGCUUCUACAAGGUCGGGUCCAAAACACUGAGCAUAGAGAUUCUAGCAGAACACCGGGGGAUAGACUUGUUUCAACAAGUCCAGGUAGGGGCUGCUGCCUUAGGCAAAGUCCCCUCAGAGGCCCCCACCUGUCGCAGAAUCCUCCCUAUAGACAUUCCAACCACGUCCCGUGCUUCCCCACACCAGUUCCUGACUCAGGAACCUCUGAUUGGGGGACUGGCCCAGCCCUGCUUCCCACACUUUCCUGUGGGCAGAGGUGGGCUGGGCCCUCCCCAUCCCUGUCUUUACUCUCUGGUGCUCUGGGCUGCAACUUCCUGCUCCGUAUUGAAAUGAGGUUCUGGAUGUGACUUUGUUCAUUUCUUGCCAUGAAGGGUUGGUGGGUAAAUUAAAAGAGAAGAUUCUAAUUUUGAGGGGAAAUAAACAUCAAGAACUUUCCAGA